rnacentral:lncRNA from 1 species
AAAAAUAUUUCUGCUUGUGUUUCAUGAAUGAGGCUCAAUGCUAUCAGCAACAAUUAAACAUGUAAUUACUGUAAAGUAGGUCUUGAGAUAAAUUGAAUAUUUUUUUUUUUCUUUUUUGGUUUUCUUUCUCUGACAGGAUGAAUAAAACAGUAUACAGAAGAAGGUUGUGCUGCUCUGACUUCAGCAUUUAAUUCAAAUCCUUCAAACCUGAUAGAGCUGGAUCUGAGUGGAAAUAAACUAGGAAAGUCAGGAAUGGAGAAUAUUUGUUUGACUUUUGAAAAAUCCACAAUGCAAAUUGGAGAAACUGAAACUUUCACACUGCAGUAUCACUGGAGAAAGUUAUGAAACCUUGACUUCAGCUCUGAAAUCAAACCCUUCACGCCUGAUGGAGCUGGAUCUCACAGGAAACUAUCCUGGAAAAUCAGGAUUAAAGUGGCUUUUUAAUUUACUAGGGAGUGGAAAGCGCUAUUUAAUGAACAUCAGGUAAUAACAGCAUUCAAUCAUUUUAAAAGACACAGAAAUGUAGUCAGCUGUUUGAAACAUAUUAGAGGGGACAGAUUAGUUGAUGUGAAACUG